rnacentral:lncRNA from 1 species
GAAAUGGAUGAAAUGAAAGAGCUACUACCAUUUAUUGAAUGUUGAAUAUGUGCUAAUCACUGGACAAGGAGGCUUGUGCCUUUGUGAUUAGCACAUACAAGGAUCAUAUAAAUGUAAUCAUCUCAAUUCCUCUGUGAAGUACGUCUUUUUACCUCCAGAAGGACUUAAGAUUCAGAGAGGGUAAGAGGCUUGCCCAAAGACCGCAGCUACCAGGUGACAGAUCAGAAUUCAAAUGCAGGACGACGGCAAGAUGCUUACUAGCAGAUCAUUUUAAACGAGCAUGCCUGGCACGCAGUAAGCACUCCGUAAGUAGUGUCGUCUGCUACCACUGGUGUUCUUAGAAAGGCUCUGGCCCAACCCUAUCCUAGAAUCAUCACUCCAUUGCAGGCUUGACACUGGAACCAACUCUUUGCUCUGGAAUUAGGUCAAAUCAUUGCUGGCUUCAGGCCCUUCUCCAUUAAAAAACGUACCCAUGGAGAUAAUGAAUGCACUGAAUUUCUACCAGUCAUUACGCCUUGGUGUCAAUCAGAAGGAAUGUCCCAUAGGAAGGCUAGGACUGGGCAUUCCUCUCUACCUAUCACAUGAUUCGAUGAGCACAGGGUGCUGUGGUUUGAUGUAUAGAGUCUGCCUUUCUUAAAGGAGCCCUGAUUGUGGCCUGGAGGGGCCUAUGUGACAUGAUUCCCGUGAGGCCAGCCUAGCAGAGGGCAGGAUGGCUAUCUCUCUACUGUGGCUACAGCUGCCUUUGGAGCUUUCUCAGGAAUCCCGGGUGUCCACUGAUUGAACAAAUGUACACAAACACAGCAGAGCCUGCUCCUGCCAGAAACAGACUCAAAGCUACAGCGACCAGUCCCAGAAAAGUUCCCCCAGGCCAGCUCAACUCCCACCAGCAGGGGUCACACCUGAGCAGCCAGAAGGGUGAGGGGCCCUGAUAGUCUGGCCUACCAACCAGCAAACCUUUGUAUGCUGCGGGUGAGGUCCAUACUCAGUCAGCACAUGGAAGGGGAACUGGAGGAGAACAUUAAGCUGAGAGGAGGUCCUGGUGGGCUGGGGCCAACUCCCCAGGAGCAGAGGAAGCAGCCAGCAGCCUGGAUGGGCAGAGGUGAGACCAGGCUGGGCCCAGAGGGACUGAAGCUGCUACUAGCAUGGCACGGUCCUGGGAGCUUUGAGGACACCCACAGAGACAGACGGUGCACACCGAGGGUUCCGCUGCUCAGGAACAGGCAUGGAGAAGAAAGUUGCACUUAGAAGCCCAACAGGAGUUUUGCAAGACAAAAGUUUAAUGAAAGGAGAGAAGAGCACAGAAACUGAAGGUAGGCCCCUUCCUUACAUUUGCUUAUCAGCUCAGAAGCAGAGCUCAGAGACAGCAGCCGCCAGAGGAUCUGGGAGCUGACUUUACUCUUACUGUAAAUCUACCUUCCCACAUUUUCCUGCCUUUUGGAAGCCUGAAGAUACUCUCCUCUUUGUCUUGUCAUUGAAUAGAAUUUAUGGCUCUUUGUUAAAAUACUAUUUAAGCAAGGCCUCUAAAGCCGCUGCCUUGAGAGAGAAAAAGAGUUUUGAACUGAGGCCUCUUCUGUGUGAUGGGUACAGCACAUGUUAAUAAACUUCUGCUUGUUUUUCUUUUGUUAGUCUGACUUUUGUUUUCAGGAGUGUAUCUCAACUUAGAACCAAAAAAGAUAAAGAAAAGAAAUGUUUUCUCC